GAUGAACGCUGGCGGCGUGCCUAAUACAUGCAAGUCGAGCGAACAGACGAGGAGCUUGCUCCUCUGACGUUAGCGGCGGACGGGUGAGUAACACGUGGAUAACCUACCUAUAAGACUGGGAUAACUUCGGGAAACCGGAGCUAAUACCGGAUAUAUAUUGAACCGCAUGGUUCCAUAGUGAAAGACGGUUUUGCUGUCACUUAUAGAUGGAUCCGCGCCGCAUUAGCUAGUUGGUAAGGUAACGGCUUACCAAGGCGACGAUGCGUAGCCGACCUGAGAGGGUGAUCGGCCACACUGGAACUGAGACACGGUCCAGACUCCUACGGGAGGCAGCAGUAGGGAAUCUUCCGCAAUGGGCGAAAGCCUGACGGAGCAACGCCGCGUGAGUGAUGAAGGUCUUCGGAUCGUAAAACUCUGUUAUUAGGGAAGAACAAAUGUGUAAGUAACUAUGCACGUCUUGACGGUACCUAAUCAGAAAGCCACGGCUAACUACGUG
rnacentral:rRNA from 1 species